rnacentral:rRNA from 1 species
UUGGUGGUAGUAGCAAAUAUUCAAGUGAGAACCUUGAAGGCUGAAGUGGAGAAGGGUUCCAUGCGAACAGUGUUUGGACAUGGGUUAGUCGUUCCUAAGAGAUAGGGUAACGCCGUGUUAAGGAGCCCUUGUGGCUCGCCUAUCGAAAGGGAAUCGGGUUAACAUUCCCGAACCGGGAUGUGGAGAGUAAGCGGCAACGCAAAUGAACUUGAGGACGUCGGCGGGAGCCCCGGGCAAGGUUGUCUUUCUUGUUUAACGCGCCCAACGCCCUGGAACCAGAUUAUCUGGAGAUAG